rnacentral:rRNA from 1 species
GUGGGGAAUUUUGGACAAUGGGCGCAAGCCUGAUCCAGCAAUGCCGCGUGCAGGAAGAAGGCCUUCGGGUUGUAAACUGCUUUUGUACGGAACGAAACGGUCCUGGUUAAUACCUGGGGCUAAUGACGGUACCGUAAGAAUAAGCACCGGCUAACUACGUGCCAGCAGCCGCGGUAAUACGUAGGGUGCGAGCGUUAAUCGGAAUUACUGGGCGUAAAGCGUGAGCAGUCGGUGCUGUAAGACAGGCGUGAAAUCCCCGGGCGCAACCUGGGAAUUGCGCUUGUGACUGCAGUGCUGGAGUGCGGCAGAGGGGGAUGGAAUUCCGCGUGUAGCAGUGAAAUGCGUAGAUAUGCGGAGGAACACCGAUGGCGAAGGCAAUCCCCUGGGCCUGCACUGACGCUCAUGCACGAAAGCGUGGGGAGCAAACAGGAUUAGAAACCCCAGUAGUCC